GUUUCCCUGGAGUGCGCGUGAUCCAUGCCUCGGUGCUGACCUGACAAAGACUGCGAAACAAGGGAGCCGAUUCCUGUUUUUUGUGUGCAUGCCCGGUCCUGACCGGGAAGCCUGAAAAAAACAUAUCGGCGCCCGACCUGGGAAACCAGGUUCUGCACCGCACGCGUGACACGGCUCUCCGGGGCAUGC
rnacentral:other from 1 species